AAGGCUACCUGUGUCCUGUGUAACUUCAUGAGGAUGGACACGAGGACCAGGAGGGGAUCUGCAGCUGGCCGCCGUGUCCCAGAGGAGGAGUCUGCUGCUCUGCAGGAUGUUUCAAGGACGGUGUCCAACAACGCAGCAAGAGAGGCAAUCCGUGUGCAGGAGAUCUUCACCUCCUACUUCUUCAAAGAGGGUGCUGUUCCCUGGCAACACCAUAGACUACACUAUGCACAACCAAAGGCUCUUUUAAGAGCCAUCCACAUUGCAAUAAGAGUAUUCUUCCAUUUACUUAGCUAUGUCAACUGCAGUUAUUCAAUUCACAGUUUCUCUCCCUUUGAUUUCUACUUCUCAGGUGAGGGUGCUGUUUAGGUAAGGGUGUGAUGUCUGUGCAAAAACAAAACAGGCUAUCUUAAAUCACUAAUAUUGAAAAAAUUUAGAACAAUUGGACACCCUAUAACCCACACCUACACACUCAUGUAUCAAUCUGAUUGAUGGAUUGUGUUGUGCAGUAAGCAGGUUCAGGUGUAUAACUGUGGCUCCUUCCACCUUCAAAGAAUAGGCAAGAGGGCCAACCAUGGAGAAUAGUAAGACACUAUAUAACUACACUAUAUUGUUUGUCCUCAUGUGUCCGUUCAUGUUUUUCAGCAUAAAGUACUCUGCAGCCACUUAGUGUGGUGUGGACACCAGUCGAGGCCACACACAGAUUCCUGUUGAACACUGUGGCUUUAACUACCUUAUUUUCUCAAUAACAGUCUCUCUCCUUCACUUCAUCCCUCUCUCCCCUUCUCCCUAAAUCCUCUAGGUUAUAUCAGCUGUGUCGGUGAACCCCUCCUGCAUCUGAACAGGCUACAUCGAGGGCACAGCAUGGUCAGAGAGAUGUUUUGAUGUGAGAGGAUGCCAACCCCCAGUCCCAUCAUCGCCACCUCACCCUCUUUUAAGAUGACCUUUGUGCCGACUAGAGACCCUAUUAUGUAAUUGUAAUGAACUGAGAGAAUUUUUAGGUUGCACUGUGAUUCAUUAAUCAUGUGCUGCCUUCCCUGCUCCUAUGUGCUUACCUCUUUCCCUUUCUGUCUUUUACACCUCUCUCUCUCCAUCUCCUCUUUCUUCCUCUGUUUUUAUAAUGCACAACAGAUGUGCAUUGAAGUACAGAUUGAACUUGUAUUUGUAACACUUGGAUAAUGAGCUUUUCAAUAAAGCGUUUCACAUUCUCUA